AUUGAACGCUGGCGGCAUGCCUUACACAUGCAAGUCGAACGGUAACGGGCCUUCGGGUGCCGACGAGUGGCGAACGGGUGAGUAAUACAUCGGAACGUGCCCGAUCGUGGGGGAUAACGAGGCGAAAGCUUUGCUAAUACCGCAUACGAUCUACGGAUGAAAGCAGGGGACCGCAAGGCCUUGCGCGGACGGAGCGGCCGAUGGCAGAUUAGGUAGUUGGUGGGAUAAAAGCUUACCAAGCCGACGAUCUGUAGCUGGUCUGAGAGGAUGAUCAGCCACACUGGGACUGAGACACGGCCCAGACUCCUACGGGAGGCAGCAGUGGGGAAUUUUGGACAAUGGGCGCAAGCCUGAUCCAGCCAUGCCGCGUGCAGGAUGAAGGCCUUCGGGUUGUAAACUGCUUUUGUACGGAACGAAAAGCCUUCUUAUAAUACAGGAGGGUCAUGACGGUACCGUAAGAAUAAGCACCGGCUAACUACGUG
rnacentral:rRNA from 1 species